rnacentral:rRNA from 1 species
AGAGUUUGAUCCUGGCUCAGAUUGAACGCUGGCGGUAUGCUUUACACAUGCAAGUCGAACGGUAGUCCUUCGGGAUGAGAGUGGCGAACGGGUGAGUAAUAUAUCGGAACAUAUCCGUAAGUGGGGGAUAACGUAGAGAAAUUUACGCUAAUACCGCAUAUUCCCUGAGGGGGAAAGGAGGGGAUUCGCAAGAACCUUUCGCUGACGGAGUGGCCGAUAUCGGAUUAGCUAGUAGGUGAGGUAAAGGCUCACCUAGGCGACGAUCCGUAGCGGGUCUGAGAGGAUGAUCCGCCACACUGGAACUGAGACACGGUCCAGACUCCUACGGGAGGCAGCAGUGGGGAAUUUUGGACAAUGGGCGCAAGCCUGAUCCAGCCAUACCGCGUGAGUGAAGAAGGCCUUCGGGUUGUAAGGCUCUUUCAGCCGGAAAGAAAUCCUACUUACU